GUUCAGGCAAAAAGUCAGCAUUACUUAAGGGCUUGCUCCUGCUCUUACUACCCAGGGUUCCGUCUCCACACAGCAGCUAGAGGGAUUGUGUUAUGUCACACCUUUGCUGGGAACUAAAGUCCUUGGAAAUGAGUUUCUGUGAUCUUCCCCCACUCCUACCAUGUGACCUCAUGUCCUACUGCUGUCCUCACUCAAUUUCAUCCCAGCUUCCUUGCUGUUCCUCAGACACACCAAGCACUUUCUAAUGCCUUUAUGAUGAGGAAACUCCCCAGAGCCUAAAUGUCACAUUAGAGGCUUUCCGUGAUCACCCCACAGACUGUUCCUGUUUGCUUUAUUUCUAGGUCAGCAUGUGAUUCGAACACCCAAAUUGACUAGAAUUUUCUUUAGGGCUAGAGCAACCGCUUUCUCAACAGCCCCACAAGAGGUAGAGGUCUUAUGACAUUCUUAUCACUAGAAUGGGAGCAAAAGUGAUAUAUUACUUCUCUCCAAGACAAUCAAGAGUUGGUAGGCCAAUGGAGGCCAAAGAUCCAAAUAGCAUGGCUACAAGAUGGAGGAAAGCUUCUCUACCCUUAGCAGACCACACAAAUGAGAAAUAAAACUUUAUUGUGUUGAAGAGUUUAUAGUUUGUAUAGUGUAUAUAUUGUGUUUAUACUUGUGUUCGUUCUUAUGGCAGCAUAGCCUAGCUUGACCCUAAUUCAAUAAGUAGUCAAACAUCAUUUAUAUAUUUGAGUCUUGUGUUUGCUUUACAAUGACCUUCCAUUAUAAUCCUUUGUCCAUUUUUCUAUCAAAAUCCGUACACUCUUAAGCACCAUGCUAUAUUAAAUGAAUUGUAGGGUGGUUGCUAGCUCAUUGCUGCUAUGCUUCGUCGUUUCUCUGCUCUUGAGAUUCUUAAAGGUGACUUUAUGUAGAAUAAGUUUUUGAAAUUUCAGCUGUUUGUCUUUUCAAUUCUAAGCUCUGAUUCCAUCUCUAAAUUCUGAAAUUCCUAAGGGAAAUUAGUAGGUGUAUUGUAUCAGUCAGGCAGACUAGAUUACACUACAGUGACAAACAACCCCCAAAUCUUAGUGGCUUAAAAUAAUAAAGGUUUAUUUCUUGCACAUACUACAUGUUCAUUGAGGGUUGGUCAUGCUUCUUACUCCAGAAACCAGGCUACAG
rnacentral:lncRNA from 1 species